ACCCGCUGAACUUAAGCAUAUCAAUAAGCGGAGGAAAAGAAACCAACAGGGAUUGCCUCAGUAACGGCGAGUGAAGCGGCAAAAGCUCAAAUUUGAAAUCUGGCUCUUUCAGGGUCCGAGUUGUAAUUUGUAGAAGAUGCUUCGGGUGUGGUCCCGGUCUAAGUUCCUUGGAACAGGACGUCAUAGAGGGUGAGAAUCCCGUAUGUGACUGGGUACCUACGCUCAUGUGAAGCUCUUUCGACGAGUCGAGUUGUUUGGGAAUGCAGCUCAAAAUGGGUGGUAAAUUUCAUCUAAAGCUAAAUAUUGGCCAGAGACCGAUAGCGCACAAGUAGAGUGAUCGAAAGAUGAAAAGCACUUUGGAAAGAGAGUUAAACAGUACGUGAAAUUGUUGAAAGGGAAGCGCUUGCAAUCAGACUUGCGCCUAGUUGAUCAUCCGGGCUUCUGCCCGGUGCACUCGAUUAGGCUCAGGCCAGCAUCGGUUUGGGUGGUUGGAUAAAGACUUGGGGAACGUAGCCUCCUUCGGGGGGUGUUAUAGCCCCAGGUGCAAUGCAGCCUACCUGGACCGAGGACCGCGCUUCGGCUAGGAUGCUGGCGUAAUGGUUGU
rnacentral:rRNA from 1 species